AACGCGAAGAACCUUACCUGGGCUCGAAGUGCCGGCGACCAUCUUGAGAAAUCUAGACUUCCCGCAAGGGACGCCGGUAGAGGUGCUGCAUGGCUGUCGUCAGCUCGUGCCGUGAGGUGUUGGGUUAAGUCCCGCAACGAGCGCAACCCUUACGCGUAGUUGCCACCCCGCAAGGGGGGAACUCUACGUGGACUGCUCCGGAUAACGGAGAGGAAGGUGGGGAUGACGUCAAGUCAGCACGGCCUUUAUGUCCAGGGCUACACACGUGUUACAAUGCGCGGCACAGAACGCUGCAAACCCGCGAGGGGGAGCUAAUCGGAAAAAACCGCGCUCAGUUCGGAUUGCAGUCUGCAACUCGACUGCAUGAAGCUGGAAUCGCUAGUAAUGGCGCAUCAGAUCGGCGCCGUGAAUACGUUCCCGGGCCUUGUACACACCGACAUA
rnacentral:rRNA from 1 species